rnacentral:tRNA from 1 species
GUCCCCAUCGUCUAGCGGUUAGGACGCCGCCCUUUCAAGGCGGAAACACGGGUUCGAGUCCCGUUGGGGGCACCA